CCAAAAUGUGGAGGUGGGGAGGUCUAAGAAAGAGGGGGAUCACUUGCAAAUAUAAGGAAAUCAGACGCACCCGGUGCUACAGAAAUGGGCCAGGAGAAAACUCAGCAUUUUGACUGGGAUUUUGUUCCAACCAAGCAACUCUCUUCUACUUUCGUUGUGUACGGUUGGCACCAGGUGGAGGACAAUCAUUGGCACAGUGCUCUUGGCUCCUCUCCAUCCUCUCACUCCCUCCGCACUGACUGG
rnacentral:lncRNA from 1 species